rnacentral:rRNA from 1 species
UACGUAGGGUGCAAGCGUUGUCCGGAAUUAUUGGGCGUAAAGAGCUCGUAGGCGGUCUGUCGCGUCGGCUGUGAAAACUUGGGGCUCAACCCCAAGCCUGCAGUCGAUACGGGCAGACUAGAGUGCGGUAGGGGAGACUGGAAUUCCGUGGUGUAGCGGUGAAAUGACGCAGAUAUCAGGAGGAACACCGGUGGCGAAGGCGGGUCUCUGGGCCGUAACUGACGCUGGAGGAGCGAAAGCGUGGGGAGCGAACAGG